CAUCUUAAGACAGUUAAGAUGAUCUUAAAUAUAAGAUCCGACUAUGAAUACUGGCCUUAGAGGUUAUAUAUAAUAUAUAAUGCAAUAUAAUUUACAAUAUCCACAUGGACGUCACGAUAGGAUGGCAAUAUUCAGCGCUAUUUGUAUUUUUUAAAGCUAUAAUUUUAUUCAUUGCUGUAUCAAAAUUUUAUAAUUUUUUAUCUUUUUUCACAGUAUAUUAAUAUAUAUAAUUUAAAAAUACACUUUUAUACAUAUCACAACUUAAUGAAAAAAGCAAUAAUCUUAUGCAAUUAUUUGUAUGCAUUCUAGAUAGAUUUUCUAUAAAAUAACAUUCCGUAAAACGGAUAAUAAUCUAUCUAGUAUCGCGCUUUCAUGUAGCUCCCACACAAUAAAUAAGCACAAUUAUA